UAGCUCAUUGGUAGAGUAUCAAACUGUUAAUUUGACUGUAGCUGGUUCAAAUCCGGCA
rnacentral:tRNA from 1 species